ACAACAACAAAAGAGAAAAGGCAUAGUUAUUUGGCUGUAUAAAAACUGCUAAUAAUCUGCGUAUAACAAACCGACAAACUUGCCUACCGCAGCAGCACAAUCUUGCCUAUAAAAACUGCAAGUUGUUUAAAAGAUAACUUGCAUAAAAUCUAGUGUUGUAAAUGCUUUGCCUGCUAUGGUCACAUGUUUACAUUACAGUUUUACAGAGUUGUUGCCUGCUAUGUAAAUGGAAUGCUGGAUUAAAAGCCAACAUAAUGCUGAACUCAAAAAAUGUUGAAGUUCCAAUUAAGAAAUGCAGUAUUUUGGCUGCUUUGCCUGCCAGAAACCCCUUCAUAAGAUGCCUACAAGAAAAAAAUGGUAAAGAGUGUUGUGUGCUGCAAUUGAAACGAGUAUCACCUACUUUGGUCAUCGUUGAGUAGUACAUGUUGCCUGAUCAUUACAUAGUUCCAAAAAUGUGUAAAGGGCAUGCUGGUAGGGGACAAAAAAAUAUAAAAACAUGUCGGCAUUUUUGAGUGCAUAAAGAAAAAGAUGUUUGGGUGUUUCCUUUUAACAUGAUUUCGCUUUCACGGAAUUUCCUUUCUACCUUCUAAAGAAUGUGGAGAUGGAUGAGCUUGAUCUCAAUAAACUCCCUGGUGACAUUGAUUAUUGUGAUGGAGGCCCGCUACACUGUACACAGGUCCCACAUGGCAAAAUGCCUAUUUCUAUCCAGGGAUUGGCCAAGUCGCAGAUUUGCUAUCUGCUCCUGUCCAACAUGUCCACGAUGUGGUAUUUUCGUGUUGCGAAGGCUAUUGCUAUUGGGCGACUAGAUGGGACUAGUGAGGCGAGUUAGUAUAUGAAGGGUGGGCGACUUCGAGUGUCGUGGAGUAGUCGACUAAAUUCAUGGGUUUCGGCGACUUGGUGUACCGGAUUUGGCGAUUUAAUUGUUUGCUUUUUUUGGGUGACUCGAUGAGAAAUGGGAGGCGAUUAAGCAUUGGUUUUGAGCGACUAGAUCAGACUAGUGAAGCGAGUUAGUAUAUGGAGGGUGGACGACUUUGAGUGUUGUGGAGCAGGCGACUAAGUUCAUGGGUUUCGGCGACUUGGUGUACCGGAUUUGGCGAUUUAAUUGUUUGCUUUUUUUGGGUGACUCGAUGAGAAAUGGGAGGCGAUUAAGCGUUGGUUUUGAGCGACUAGAUGGGACUAGUGAGGUGAGUUCGUAUCGAGUUUUGUGGAGCGGGCGACUAAGUUUAUGGGUUUCGGCGACUUGGUGUACUGGAUUAGGCGAUUUAGUUGUUUGCUUUUUUGGGGUCACUUGAUGAGAAAUGGGAGCCGAUUAAGCAUUGGUUUUGGGCGACUAGAUGGGACUAGUGAGGUGAGAUAGUAUAUGGAGGGUGGAUGACUUCGAGUGUGGUGGAUUAGGCAACUAAGUUCAUGGGUUUCGGUGAUUUGUUGUGCCGGAUUAGGCUAUUUAAUUGUUUGCUUUUUUUGGGCGACUUGAUGAGAAAUUGAAGGCGAUUAAGCGCUGGUUUUGGGCGACUAAAUGGGACUACUGAGGUGAGUCAGUAUAUGGAGGGUGGACGACUUCGAGUGUGGUGGAUUAGGCGACUAAGUUCAUGGGUUUUGGUGAUUUGUUGUGCGGAUUAUACGAUUUAAUUGUU